rnacentral:rRNA from 1 species
GUCCUUUUGAAUUUAAUUUAAGGUUUAACCUGCCCACUGAUUUUUUGAAGGGCCGCAGUAAUUUGACUGUGCAAAGGUAGCAUAAUCAUUAGUUUUUUAAUUAAAAGCUUGUAUGAAGGGUUGGACGAGGUAAAUUCUGUCUCUAAAUAAAUUAAUUUAGAAUUUAAUUUUUAAGUUAAAAAGCUUAAAUAGAUUUAAAAGACGAGAAGACCCUAUAGAUCUUUAUAUUAAAUUUAUUAAUUUUAAUUAAGAUUUUUUUAUUUUUUAAUAUUUUUAAUAUUUUAUUGGGGUAAUAAAAAGAUUAAAUUAAUUCUUUUUUUAUUUUUACAUUUAUAUAUGAAUAUAUGAUCCAAUUUUAUUGAUUAAAAGAUUAAGUUACCUUAGGGAUAACAGCGUAAUUUUUUUAGAGAGUUCAUAUCGAUAAAAAAGUUUGCGACCUCGAUGUUGGAUUAAAAAUUAUUUUAGGUGCAGAAGCUUAAAAUUUUUGGUCUGUUCGACCAUUAAAUUUUU